GAGGAGAGGAGGGGAGGGGAGGGAAAGGGAAGGGGAAGUGAAGAAAAGGAGCUUGGAUUGCACAGUGGGGGUGCUUUUUGAGCCAGGACGAGCCAGGGAAAGGACUUUCACAAGGUAAUGUCAUCACUUAAGGUAAGGACCGGCCAUUUACACUUCUUUUGUGGUGGAAUGUCAUCAGUUAAGGUGGGGCAGGGCAUAUUCACUUAUUUUGUGAUUCUUCAGUUACUUCAGGCCAUCU
rnacentral:lncRNA from 1 species